UCCGGGACGGUGAGGGUCGGGCGCGGGCGGGGCUGCGACUGCCCGGGCUCCGGGCCACCUGGGUCUCGUCGUGGGCGGCGUGGCUGAAACCUAAGCAGGAGCCGAACUCUGGUGGCACCCGAGGGCGGCGACAAAAAAGGAACAGAGCCGGGGGGCGGGGGGGGCGGGGCAGCGUGAGCGAGCGCAGCGCGGACCGGACCGCGGUGCACAACAGAGGCUCGUUGCUGGGUGGCUUAAGGAUCCUCUGGGUGAAAGAAAACACAGGUUCUGCGCCCCCUCUCCCGCCACGAGACUCUAGUGCCGUGUGUCUGGAGUGGGCCCAGGAGAUGCACUUUUGUUCGGCACCCGGGUGGCUGUGAUGCACGUUUUGAGGAAACGGUGCAACAUCACUGAAAUGUGAGAAGACGCUCGCUAACUUUACCAAAAUUCCCCCCGGGGAUACUCAUGCAUUUUGGUUGGAAGGACUUCAAUAACCCACUGAGGCUGAGGAUUGAGACAUCCGCCUCUAAUAGAGAUCGCUUCGGUUGCGAACAGGCCUUCCUGUGCGGAGUUCAGGACGCCUACCGGGCCGGAGCCGAACUGCCUCGGCCUUAGGAGCGGUUGACCUCUGCCUCCGUCAGUACUCCACACCAUGAGCUUGCCUUUUUCUUUAAGUGAAGCUCUGCUUACAAAAUACAGAUUAGAAAGGCCAGUGCCUUAGGAUCGCCUGAGUAGAAGCAGAGAUGCCUCUAACCCCAAAGAAAAACAUUUUAAACAAUAUACAGAUGAUUUGCAGAAAUAGAUUCAAGAAUGCUAGCAAUCUCUUUUACAUCUGCGUGACUGAAGGCAUUGGGAAGACCUCCCCCCCCCCCCCACUUUCUGAAUCAGAAUGAGAUUUAGAGUAAAAAUAGUGAAAUGGAGUCCUCCAAAAAGAGAACAACCCUUAAAGACCGAUUUGACUGAUUUUACUCAUGUUACCCAAUGUAGGAAAGCCAAUUCUUGACACCAUAAUGGAGACCCGCUGAUUUCAAGGACUGAGCUUGAGAACUGAUCCCAUUUAAGUCUUCCUUUAACUAUGUUUUGACUAUCUCCCAAGAAACUGAAUUUGAAGGAGGCUCAUUCCCCAGCCCCUAUCCCUCACCUAACCCUAAUAUGAGCUCACGUGCCUGUAAGGCCUGUAGCAGAGCACUUCUCACUGAGCUGAGACCGGAGGCCCAGUUCAGGAUCACCAAACUCAGUCUUGCGUUGUAUGGCAAGGAUUCUGUGAGACAGACAUUGAGACUUGCAACCGGAAGUAUGGGUUAUGUACCGCAGUGAAGGCAUCUGCAUGACCAGAUGGUCGGGGUGGUUAGCAUCACCAGUGAUGGGACAGAUGGACAUGAUGAAAAAUCAAAACCUGCCGACAAGGCACGCCUGCAUCUGGGCAUGAGGAAACACCAGACGAACCCAGGCUGAGGGGCAUCCUACAGAAUAUAAGGCCUAUCCUGUCAGGACAAGAAAAUGACUGAGGAGACGUUUCAGAUUGGAGGAGACCAAAGAGACACGACAACUACAUGCAAUGUGUGUUUCUGGAUGAGGUCCCACACCAGAAAACGCAAAAAGAUAUUUUGGGGACAAUUGGCAAAAUUGAAAUUUGAGUAAGGUCUUUGGAGGUUAGUGUUGCAUCCGUGUUGAUUUCCCGACUUUUUCAGAGAUCCGUGUUUAGGGAAAUACACACUAGAGCAUUUAGGUUUGAGGUAGGAUUAGGUUUGAAGCUUAUAGUCAAAUCGUUUAGAAAAAAAGACUGUAUAUCCGUGUAAGUGUGUGUGUGUGCAUGGGUGUGCACGUGCGUACGUGCACACGUGUGUAUCCAGAGAAAGCAGGUGUGUGUGUAUCCGAGAGAAAGGGAGAAGUUAAAAGUUGCUGAAGCUGGGACUGUAUCUUCUAGACAUCUGACUCU